GACGAACGCUGGCGGCGUGCCUAAUACAUGCAAGUUGAGCGCUGAAGGUUGGUACUUGUACCAACUGGAUGAGCAGCGGACGGGUGAGUAACGCGUGGGGAAUCUGCCUUUGAGCGGGGGACAACAUUUGGAAACGAAUGCUAAUACCGCAUAAAAACUUUAAACACAAGUUUUAAGUUUGAAAGAUGCAAUUGCAUCACUCAAAGAUGAUCCCGCGUUGUAUUAGCUAGUUGGUGAGGUAAAGGCUCACCAAGGCGAUGAUACAUAGCCGACCUGAGAGGGUGAUCGGCCACAAUUGGACUGAGAAACGGCCCAAACUCCUACGGGAGGCAGCAGUAGGGAAUCAUCGGCAAUGGACGGAAGUCUGACCGAGCAACGCCGCGUGAGUGAAGAAGGUUUUCGGAUCGUAAAACUCUGUUGGUAGAGAAGAACGUUGGUGAGAGUGGAAAGCUCAUCAAGUGACGGUAACUACACAGAAAGGGACGGCUAACUACGUG
rnacentral:rRNA from 1 species